rnacentral:rRNA from 1 species
CAGUCGCCGCGGUAAUACAGAGGGUGCAAGCGUUGUUCGGAUUUAUUGGGCGUAAAGAGCUUGUAGGCGGUCUGUCGCGUCUGCUGUGAAAACCCGAGGCUCAACCUCGGGCCUGCAGUGGGUACGGGCAGACUAGAGUGCGGUAGGGGAGAACGGAACUCCUGGUGUAGCGGUGGAAUGCGCAGAUAUCAGGAAGAACACCGAUGGCGAAGGCAGUUCUCUGGGCCGUAACUGACGCUGAGAAGCGAAAGCGUGGGGAGCGAACAGGAUUAGAUACCCCCGUAGUCCCUGUCUCUUAUAC